rnacentral:tRNA from 1 species
GGGAGUGGAUGGGGCCCGGUGGCUCUCACGGACUUCAAAUCCGCUGUAUCCCGCUAGAACCGGGAUGGGAGGGUUCGACUCCCUCCCACUCCCGCCA